UACGAAGGGGGCAAGCGUUGCUCGGAAUUACUGGGCGUAAAGGGUGCGUAGGCGGGCCUUUAGGUCAGGGGUGAAAUCCUGGAGCUCAACUCCAGAACUGCCUUUGAUACUGAAGAUCUUGAGUAUGGGAGAGGUGAGUGGAACUGCGAGUGUAGAGGUGAAAUUCGUAGAUAUUCGCAAGAACACCAGUGGCGAAGGCGGCUCACUGGCCCGGAACUGACGCUGAGGCGCGAAAGCGUGGGGAGCAAACAGG
rnacentral:rRNA from 1 species